rnacentral:rRNA from 1 species
UACGUAGGGGGCAAGCGUUUAUCCGGAAUCAUUGGGCGUAAAGCGCGUGUAGGCGGUUCAGUAAGUCCGCUCUGAAAGCCCAGGGCUCAACCCUGGGAGGCGGGUGGAUACUACUGAACUAGAGUACGGAAGAGGAGAUUGGAAUUCCUGGUGUAGCGGUGAAAUGCGCAGAUAUCAGGAGGAACACCAACAGCGAAGGCAGAUCUCUGGGACGUAACUGACGCUGAGACGCGAAAGCGUGGGGAGCAAACAGG